rnacentral:lncRNA from 1 species
UUUUCAUUCAAAAUUGUAAAAAUAAACUGUUUUUAUGUGUUUACCAAACAUUUUUUUAAACUCAACUUUUUUUAGAUCUAUUUUUUAUAAAAACACUUUAAUAACAAACCAAUACCAAACCAUUUCACUGGAUUAUUGUGGACCAAUCACCAACCCCACCCUCCUCACAGGCUUUGGAUUCCCUCACACAGGGCCGAGUUUGAUGAAGACAAGGGGGCACGUGCACCCUUUUGGUUUUUUAUUUAAAAAAUACACAUUUUAAGUUUUAAGAAAUUUGCCAACAUUAUCUUUAAAUUUUUUUUUCUUUCAAUUUUUCUUUAAACAGACCAAUUCAACAAAAGUUAAAAACAUCAACAUUUCUCUAAUUUAAUUCUAUCACUCGAUUCUUAUUCAAGAUUACUAAAUAAAAAAAAACGUAUAUUUAGUGAAACGACACUGUUUUUUAAGGUAAAUAUAAAAUUAGUAGUUUGUUUCUAGCUUUGUGAUACACCCCGACCCGGAAUGUCCACAAGGACUUCGAAUCGAGCUGUGUUGGCCGACAUCUGGAAGAUGACAAAGUCAUGAAGUGUGAUGAUGUGGAAAAAUAUGAAUAAAUUUAAACCUAAGAAUGCCUAAAUAUCAGAGUGCACUGGUGAGCGGGAAUGAACCCACUUCACACGUGACGUUAGAGCAUAAGUAAGUACAGUAGAGUGGAUUGAGAAUCAUACCAUUGAAAGAAAUCCCCAAUACUAAGAUUUGCCACGAAUCCUCAUCGAUAAGAAAGCUCAGCUAAUAAAACCUGAAGGGUGAAAACAAAACAAGGGUGAGUGGCCCUAGAAAUAAAAUUUUAAUAGAAACCAUCCAAAAUGUUAUAACCCUUUGCUGCAACACCUGUAUAGUUUCCAGAAAAAUCAUACCAUUUAUCAAUGUGAAAUCAAAAGUAUAUCAAUAAUCAAGUGCUUAAUAACUCAUAACUCAUACUAGCACGCAAGUCGGAGUCACCUAUGGUGACCUGUACGACUGCACCAAUAUCUCAUCAAUCAACGCUAGCACAUAAGUCGGAGUCACCUAUAGUGACCUGUACAACUUAUCCAUAUCUCAUCAAUCAAUGUUAUCUCAUCAAUCAACGCUAGCAUAUAAGUUGGAGUCACCUAUAAUGACCUGUACGACUUAUCCAUAUCUCAUCAAUCAAUAUCUCAGCAAUAUGUCAACCGGAUCCACCUCUUGUGGCCUGUAUGACUGAACCCAUAGCUCAUAACAUAUCCCUGCACACGAGUCGAAACCACCUAUAGUGGUCUGUACGACAGGACUGGGUGUAAAUAAGUACGCUCAAAUGCUACGAUCACGUGAAGACUGUGCGAAUAAACGCAGGUCACCUACGAGUCGGAACCACCUUUAGUGGUCUGUAUGACAAGACUGUGCACCUACCUUGGAUCCAAGGUGAGCAUAAGGUGUGGGAGAUGAACAUCAUGUGAAUGACUGUACCCUGACCACGGGUGGGAACACUAAUACUAGGAUGCAGGUUUAUGAGAUUUAAUUACAUCUAUUAUAACAUAUACGACUCAUGGGCAACCUGUACGACAAUGUCGGAGUUGCCUAUCAUUGCAACAUGUAUGACAAGGUCAAAGUUGUCUAAAACAUACAAGUAGUCAUGCCUUAACUCCAUCAUUUCAACUAAUACAAUAAACUUACUAGAACUUACCUGGGUGUCCUGUGUUCACUUUUGCAUUUCAAAGCGUUCACAAUAAUUAUGAGCAGGUAAUAUACAUAUGGAUAUACCAUGAUGCAAUCUAAUACUCAACCAUGACAUAGCAUUUUCAAUUAUAUACAUGUGUGUGUGUGUGUAUAAUAUGGCAUAAAAUGCAUAAGUUGUAACGCCCUACUCCCGAACUAUUUAUUUUCGGGAAUAAUUAUCGGUGAUAAUCCCAAUUAGACACUAGUUUAAUUAACUAUCAUUACUUACGUUUCCUUACUUCAAUUUUUUGGUUCUUCACAUAUUGAUUUAUAAACAACAUUUAACCACCAAAUCAUAAGGUUAAAUCUCACAUUUUCCACCAAUCUCUUUCACAUUGCUCAAUUCCCCAAUCAAGGCUAAUGUC